CGGUCGCCGGUGGUCAAUGGU
rnacentral:miRNA from 1 species